rnacentral:rRNA from 1 species
UACGGAGGAUCCAAGCGUUAUCCGGAUUCAUUGGGUUUAAAGGGUGCGUAGGCGGAAUAGUAAGUCAGUGGUGAAAGCCUGUCGCUUAACGACAGAACUGCCAUUGAUACUGCUAAUCUUGAGUACAUUUGAAGUGGGCGGAACGUGUAGUGUAGUGGUGAAAUACUUAGAUAUUACACAGAACACCGAUUGCGAAGGCAGCUCACUAAACUGUAACUGACGCUGAGGCACGAAAGCGUGGGGAUCAAACAGG